rnacentral:rRNA from 1 species
AGAGUUUGAUCCUGGCUCAGGAUGAACGCUGGCAGUAUGCUUAACACAUGCAAGUCGUACGGAUAUGUUUCGACAUAUGAGUGGCGGACGGGUGAGUAACACGUAAGAAUCUACCGAAAGGAGAGGUAUAACCUUUGGAAACGAUGGGUAAUCCCUUAUAUGACGAAAGUUGAAACGGACUUCGGUUCGCCUUUUGAUGAGCUUGCGUCUGAUUAGCUAGUUGGUGAGGUAAUGGCUCACCAAGGCGAUGAUCAGUAGCUGGUUUGAGAGAAUGAUCAGCCACACUGGGACUGAGACACGGCCCAGACUCCUACGGGAGGCAGCAGUGAGGAAUUUUUCGCAAUGGGCGCAAGCCUGACGGAGCAAUACUGCGUGGAGGAUGAAGGCUCGUGGGCUGUAAACUCCUUUUCCAUGAGAAGAAGUUCUGACGGUAUCAUGGGAAUAAGCAUCAGCUAACUGCGUGCCAGCAGCUGCGGUAAUACGUGGGAUGCAAGCGUUAUCCGGAUUUAUUGGGCGUAAAGCGUCUGUAGGUGGUUUCGCAAGUUUGUUGUUAAAUCGUUCAGCUUCACUGAAUACAAGCAGCAAAAACUAUGAAACUUGAGUGUGGUAGAGGAAAAGGGAAUUCCCUGUGGAGCGGUGAAAUGCGUAGAGAUAGGGAAGAACACCAAAGGCGAAAGCACUUUUCUGGGCCUGCACUGACACUGAGAGACGAAAGCUAGGGGAGCGAGUAGGAUUAGAUACCCU